GAAAUGCGAUAAGUAAUGUGAAUUGCAGAAUUCAGUGAAUCAUCGAAUCUUUGAACGCACAUUGCGCCCGCCAGUAUUCUGGCGGGCAUGCCUGUUCGAGCGUCAUUUCAACCAUCAAGCCCCCCGGCUUGUGUUGGGGACCUGCGGCUGCCGCAGGCCCUGAAAAGCAGUGGCGGGCUCGCUGUCACACCGAGCGUAGUAGCAUACAUCUCGCUCUGGGCGUGCUGCGGGUUCCGGCCGUUAAACCACCUUCGUAACCCAAGGUUGACCUCGGAUCAGGUAGGAAGACCCGCUGAACUUACGC
rnacentral:misc_RNA from 1 species